rnacentral:rRNA from 1 species
GAUGAACGCUGGCGGCGUGCUUAACACAUGCAAGUCGAACGGAAAGGCUCCUGCUUGCAGGGGUACUCGAGUGGCGAACGGGUGAGUAACACGUGGGUGAUCUGCCCUGCACUUCGGGAUAAGCCUGGGAAACUGGGUCUAAUACCGGAUAGGACCACAUUUUGGAUGGUGUGGUGGAAAGUUUUUCGGUGUGGGAUGAGCUCGCGGCCUAUCAGCUUGUUGGUGGGGUAAUGGCCUACCAAGGCGUCGACGGGUAGCCGGCCUGAGAGGGUGUACGGCCACAUUGGGACUGAGAUACGGCCCAGACUCCUACGGGAGGCAGCAGUGGGGAAUAUUGCACAAUGGGCGCAAGCCUGAUGCAGCGACGCCGCGUGGGGGAUGACGGCCUUCGGGUUGUAAACUCCUUUCGCUAGGGACGAAGCGUAAGUGACGGUACCUGGAGAAGAAGCACCGGCUAACUACGUG